GGUGGUGCCUCGUAUUUCCACCAGUGUGCUCACAAAUUACAACACAGAAAUUCACUUGAGGCUCGUUAUCACACUUUCUAUUGUUCUAACACACUUCAUUUACAAUUCCACUUUGGAUUAAAUUUUAUUGGGCAGAUUUAGGAAUUAUAUAUUUUUGAAAAUUAGAGAAUUGUUUUUGGGAUCUCUUGGAUCUGUGCAUUAAUUUUCUUGUUAUUCUCAUUUUGAGAGACAAUUCUGAUGCAAUUGUUUGAUUGUUUGCCGAAUCAACGUGUGCGAUAUAUAUCUUUUCAGCCGUCACAGUAAAAUCCUCCAUAUCACAAGUUCCCCCGAUGAGGAUCAUUAAAUGACGAACGUAAAACAUCAUCUUAGAAAAAAAUAUACUCCGUAAUUGCUUUCAAUUCGUCUUGAUCGCUUUGAUAUGACUUUUAUUUGGACUUUAGCUGUAAUUCAUCUCACAUUGAGACUGUAUGAACGGUAUGAACACAAAAAAAAGAGCGACUUUGCACACGAGAUAUGUUUGAUAAAGCAACUCAUUAAAUGUUUUCACGAUCGCCACUGAAGUCAUCCCAGGAAAGGUGAAUUUUAUCGCUUAUAUACAUUUCAGGGUAUAAUAAGUGGUCGUUGAUGUGAUUGGCGAGUGAAGAGAUAGUGCCACAGAGGAAUUUGUCCAUAGACACUUUAAUAUCACAUUCUCAAUGCUUUUAUGGAUACUUAUAUGAGACAUAAUUAAAUGUGGCAUUUGUGAAUUCACAGCAUCUCUAUGUCGGACUGCAACUUUAUGGUAUUUUAGUAGUAAAAUUGCAUGGAACAUGCACAUGAUCGAUUUGUCUCUUUGGAGAGAGUAUCUUAACUUGAACACUCAAUAUCUACACGUUUACAGUAACGAUUAGAGCUUUUUAGGUGUGAUUCUUUCAUAAUCACAGCUAUUUUUAAUUAAUCUUUCAAAUUGAUUUAAUUUUUUAUGAAAAUAUCAGGAAAUUCUGCAAUUUUGCCUAAGAUAUUCCACAUAGUUCUAUGGGGAAAAUAUUAUUAACAAUGUGUGCACCACUUAGGGAAAGUGGGCACUUUUGAAUUGGGACACCCUUAAAAUAUUGUUUUUUCUCCUAUAUUUUUUUUUAAAAUGGAAUUGAGGUUUAUUGUAUUGUAAUUUAGCCUCAUGAGCGGUUUAUGAAGCUAAAUUAUAUCAUAGUAAUGUCCAACAUCGCAGAAAAAAACUAUUUUAAAGGUGUCCCAAUUCUCCCUAUUACCAUAUUAUCUGCCUCUUGAUAUAGUUUCCAAAAUAUAAAGGCAAGGGAUUUAAACAGUAAAAUGUUGAUACAAUCAGAGAAAAUAAUUGCGUUCGAAUAUUUAAAAAAAAUCAAAAAAUUAAUUAAAUUUAUAUAUAUUUAUCAACAAAACUUUAAUUAAGAUCUGUAUUACUUAUUAUUUCAGUUAAUUUUAGUAAAAUAAUAAAUUUCGGAAAUGGAUGUGAGUAUCAGCAAUAUCACUUGGGUAAUACGAGUUUAUAUAUUUCAUUUUUAAUUGCUAAUUUGUUUAAUUUUAAUUCGAAUGAAAGUCUGAUCAGCAGCGACGUGAUAAGAAAGCAAUUUUCAAGUCGUUUUUUUUCAAUAAAAAACGACUAUGACGACAUGAAUUAUUCUCAAAAAUUCACAUUUGUAGGACAAGAAAAUAUUUAUCUAGGAAUUGCGUUAUUUAUUUGCCGAUAAAUAAUAUCCUAGAGAAACAAGGGACAUAAUUAGUUUGAAGAUGAUGCAUAUUUUAUAGUAAAUGAGUCUAGAAAAGAAGUUCAGCUGCGUGAAAUUAAAGAGCCUUUUUUGCUGAUUAUAUUAUUCAUUUUGAGAGAAUUAAUUAAAUUAAAUAUAGAAUCCAAAAGCUGAUUUAUAAAUUUGCAACAUUUUAAAAAUUUUGUUUAAGAUAUCAGUGUGGUUUUUAGAUGUCUCUAGAUUAGUCCCCUUUUUAUAUAAAAUUUAAACAGAAUAAAGUAUAAUCAAUCAGUUAUCAAUCAUUUUCAGCAUGUCGCAGAAUUAAAAAAAAAUAGAUUUAAUGUUCCGGGUAGGCAGUAAAAUAGUAUUAUUUUAAUCACUAAAUAAAUAAAAAUUUAUUAGGGAAUUAUCUCAUUAAUAUUUUAAGAGAAUUAACAUGAUAAUUGUUGCUAAAUUGCUUACAUCAAAAGCGUAUAAUUCUUGUUUUUAUAAGUUUGUUUGCCAGACUUUAAUUAACAUCGUUAUAUGAAAAGCUAGAUUUGACCUAGGAAGAUUGGAGUAAAAAAUUAACGAGAAAUACAAAUAAAUCAAGAAAUAAAUCAAAAUUUUAUAGUUUUAGUAUAAAAAAACAUUUUAUCUGCAAUUAAUGUCUUUCAAUAUUUUAAUGUUCAGUGUGACAUACGAAGACGAUUCACAAAAUACGCUAUAUCAUAUAGAUUAUGUUUUUUCAAAAAUUAGAAAAUAAAACGUUCGAGUUGAUUUUGUUAGUGUUUAUAUUCUGGAUUAAUGUUUUAAUUCCUUAUUUGAAACUUUUACUUACUGUUCACAACGUUCAAAACAUCUCAGUAAUUUUUGUUAUACUAAUUAAGAAAAAAUAAGAUAUUAUACCAAUAUCUUGUUACAACUUAACCUAUCGACCGUUUUUGGUCGUUUUUCCUAGCGUGCUCGAUUAAAUGAUAUACCGCGGUAGAUAGGAUACUCAACAAAUUUUUCAUACAAAA